rnacentral:rRNA from 1 species
GACGAACGCUGGCGGCGUGCUUAACACAUGCAAGUCGUACGGUAAGGCCCUUUCGGGGGUACACGAUUGGCGAACGGGUGGGUAACACGUGAGUAACCUGCCCACAACUUUGGGAUAACGCUAGGAAACUGGUGCCAAUACUGGAUAUGUGCUCCUGCUUCAUGGUGGGGGUUGGAAAGCUCCGGCGGUUGUGGAUGGACUCGCGGCCUAUCAGCUUGUUGGUGGGGUAGUGGCCUACCAAGGCGGCGACGGGUAGCCGGCCUGAGAGGGUGACCGGCCACAGUGGGACUGAGAUACGGCCCAGACUCCUACGGGAGGCAGCAGUGGGGAAUAUUGCACAAUGGGCGCAAGCCUGAUGCAGCAACGCCGCGGGCGGGAUGACGGCCUUCGGGUUGUAAACCGCUUUCAGCAGGGACGAAGCUUUUUGUGACGGUACCUGCAGAAGAAGCACCGGCUAACUACGUG